GUUUUCCCUCCUCAUGGGGGAAGGGGAAGAGCGUGACUGUCUCUUCACUUCACUGGUUAGAGGGGUUUCAUGGCUUUAUUUGUGUUCCCUUGAGUUUGGGAUCAAAAGGACUGAGUCUGUCUGCUGCUGAUGAAAACCCACAGGGCGGGAGAGAUGAAGAGUGACCUGCUUGGUUCCAGAUGAUGCAGAGCUGCUGGCUGCAUCAGGAGCAUUCUGUCCUCCCAGAGUUUGUCAGAUGUGGAGCACGUGUUUUGGCCCUUGCUUCAGGGAAGAGGAAGCAGAUGAAGCUUCAAAAAGAAGGGCCUGAAUGAGUAACUCAGAGCAGAGAGGUAACAGCACCUGUGAGACAGACUUCCUGGCUGUACCAUGGGAAUUACAGCUAAAGAAGCUCAGCAGGAAAUCUCCCAAGGAACCCAGGAAAGCACUCGGGUGAGAAAUUCCACUUGUCAUGUGAGAACUUUCCCCUUCUCCCUCCCCUUACAAGUAGGAAGGAAAGUUGGCUCUUUCCCUCCUCAAAAGGCAGGUGUCAGCCAACUUCAGGUCCAAGUUAGGAAGGUAAAGUAUUAUUUUUGAAGUAUUGAUUCAUAUAUUGACUUAAAUAUUUCUGAAUACCAAAUUGAGACAUGCCAAAAUGAUACAAACUAAAUAUUCCUUAACUCGAAUGCUUGGAGCCAGAGUGUUUUGAAUUUCAGAUUGCAGAAUACUUACUUACAUAUUCACAAUGACAUAUUUUCACACUGGGAACAAAGUCUAAACCUGCAAUCCACAUGUUUCA
rnacentral:lncRNA from 1 species